AUGAAAAUCGUUGGAUGGAACUGCCGGGGACUCGGGAACGGUCCGGCAGUUCGUAGUCUCCUCGAUCUGGGGAGGGAGGAGGAUCCUGACAUAGUGUUUCUGGCGGAGACAAAGCUGACAGAGAAGGAACUGGAGAGAUUUAGGUGGACCUUGGGGCUUGCUCACUUAAUAGUAUCAAGUCCGGAGGGGAGAAGUAGAGGAGUGGCUCUGUUUUGGAGACGGGGUGUUGAUCUGACGUUGCGAUCGUUCGAAAGGAGGCAUAUUGAUGCAGAU
rnacentral:rRNA from 1 species